CGCUUGGCGCUAGUUGCACCAUCGGCACACUUCUUAGGCAGUCUCCUAGGGUUGGAGUUACCCUUUAUUACUAAAAGAUCGCAACAAAAAACACCAUAACAUGUGAAUAAUAACACACACACUAUUUUAGUCUGAAUUUUGUUGUUUAUUUCUUUUUUUCAUUCCAAUGUAACCACGAGUUAGUGUUUAGCGAAUAAACCUCGAAGUCCAUCAUUCCAAAUGAUCCGAUCAAGAGAGAGAAUGAGGAAACAGCCGACAUUCAUUGUUACAUUUAAUGAUUAUUGCAACAUUGGGAGACAGAACGUUUACAAAGAGAUGGUGGAAUUAUUGUUAUAUUUCCUUUAAUUGACUGUUUAAUAAAGACUUGGGUGUCCUGCAGUGUCGGUACCUCACGUGAAGUGCUUUGGGGCUGCCGUAGACCCCAGAGUAUCACUGACUUUGGGGUAACAUCCAUUUUGAUGUCUUCAUACUGUGCUUACCUAGCAGGGUGGCUGUAGCCUACCGGUCUUUGGGCAGUCCAAAUGUUGUGAACUACAUCUCCCAUAAUGCAUCAAGGGAAAUGUAGUUCCGAACAUCUGGAGUGCCGAAGGUUACCUAUGCCUGGCCAAG